AUGUGCGGCAUAGCCCUCGUCCUAUCCGGCGACUGCCUAGUCGUCGCCCCCUCCACCGCCGCCGCCGCCGAAGCCGCUGCAUCCGGAACACCGUUCUCCGACGAGGGGAAGGGCGUGUCCGUGGGUGAGCUCAAGGAGGCCCUGCGGCGGCGAGGCCCGGACAGCCUUGGAUGCCAUAGGUUCCACCUUUGCGCGGACGGCACCAUCGUAGGUGCUACAGAUGGCGUAGAUUGUGACGGUGGAGAUAAGGUUGGUGGUGGUGUUGGUGCCACGGAGUUGUGCUUCAUUGGCGCGACACUGCAGCUCAGGGGAGCUGAGCCGGUUUCGCAGCCACUGGUGGCGCAAUCAGGAAGUGUUCUAGUGUAUAAUGGUGAGAUAUAUGGAGGAAUUAACAUUGCCAAUGAUCAGAAUGAUACACAAUCGCUCUUGUCUUCACUGGAAUCUUGCUGUUGCUGUGACCUCCAUGUUGCUGAUAGAGAUGAAGCAUACCCUUGCCGUGAGAGCGUAGGGAAAUCAGUUCCACGGAUCCUCUCCACUAUUAAAGGACCAUGGGCUUUGAUAUAUUGGCAGACAGACUCAAAAACAUUGUGGUUUGGCCGGGAUGCAUUUGGGAGAAGAAGCCUGUUGGUACAUUGGCCCACUCCUGAUGAUUCACGCUUUAUAUUAUCAUCAGUAUCACCCCCUUCGUUUUCAAGGAAUAACUCUGCAACAAAAGUAAGUGGUUUGGAGGCAGGAGCAGACCCUGAUUUUUCUGACCACACCAAAGUUUGCUACUGGGAAGAGCUUCCUUGUGGGAUAUACAGCAUUCACCUGAAAGACCUUGAUAAUAAUGCCGCAUGUACGAAGGAAGGAUGUGUAGUUAGAAAACAUGAUUGGACGGAUUCUUCGUUGCAUACUUUAAUACGAUGGGAGAGAAAAUCGACAGUUCCUACUGUGGAUGGGUUGAUUUCGGCUAUGGGUUCGGUUGACAAAGGGAACCAUCACUUGUCGUCGUGUUUCAGAAACUCUAGAGAAGCUGAAGACAGUACAAGUAAUGGGUUUGAGAAAAGAGAUCUCCCAUCAGAUAUUUGCUUAUCUCCAGCACAUAGAGUAUUAAUUGCACUAAGGGAAUCUGUAAUGCUGCGAACCAAUGUGAACAUACUGUAUCAGGGUGAUCUGAAUAAACUCGAGGAAGCGGAGUUGGCCCCGAUAGCAAUCCUUUUCUCUGGUGGCCUGGACUCCAUGAUACUUCCAGCAUUAUUAGACCAGUGCCUUGAUUCCAAAUGGACAAUUGAUUUGCUGAAUGUCAGUUUUGAUGGGCAGCUAGCUCCAGAUAGAGUUUCUUCACUGGCAGGACUGAAGGAGCUUCAGAGAAUCUCCCCUCUGCGGAGAUGGCGUCUUGUUGAGAUUGACAGUAAUUUGGCCAACUUGAAAGAGGAAAGUGAACACGUGAUGUCACUGAUAUACCCUUCAAAUACAUAUAUGGAUUUGAACAUUGGUGUAGCCCUAUGGUUAGCUGCUAGCGGGGAUGGUUGGGUGAAUGGGCAAGAUGGUGAUCGCUACAAACACAAGUCAACAUCUAGAGUCCUUUUAGUCGGUUCUGGAGCUGAUGAGCAGUGUGCUGGUUAUGGUAGACAUCGUACUAAAUAUAGAGUUGGAGGAUGGGUUUCACUGGACGAGGAAAUGAGACUAGAUGUGCAAAGAAUUUGGAAAAGAAACAUGGGAAGAGAUGAUAGGUGCAUUUCUGACCAUGGCAAGGAGGCUCGUUUUCCAUUUCUUGAUGAGAGUGUGAUCAGAACAUUGUUGGAAAUCCCACUAUGGGAUAUCGCUAAACUUGAUGAGCCCGUGGGGAAGGGUGAUAAGAAGAUUCUGAGAGAGGUUGCAAAGCUGCUGGGUCUACAAGAAGCUGCUUUUUUGCCAAAGCGAGCAAUCCAGUUUGGUUCAAGAAUAGCAAGGGAAUCAAACCGCAAGAACUUUGGCAGCAACCGAGCCGCGAACCUGGCAUCGGCAGGCAGCGUGGAGGUCCACAAGCGUAACCACUGA
rnacentral:rRNA from 1 species